GGUUGAUCCUGCCAGUAGUCAUAUGCUUGUCUCAAAGAUUAAGCCAUGCAUGUCUAAGUAUAAACAACUUUAUACUGUGAAACUGCGAAUGGCUCAUUAAAUCAGUUAUAGUUUAUUUGAUAGUACCUUACUACUCGGAUAACCGUAGUAAUUCUAGAGCUAAUACGUGCGAAAAGACCCGACUUUUUGGAAGGGUUGCAUUUAUUAGAUACAAAACCAAUAAGGGGCAACCCUUUUACCAUGGUGAUUCAUAAUAACUUUUGCGGAUCGCAUGGCCUUGUGCCGGCGACGAA
rnacentral:rRNA from 1 species